rnacentral:lncRNA from 1 species
CUUAGAUUUAACAAGUGUGCAGGGAGCACUGAGGCUGCGGCUCCCAGAGCCUUCCAGAGGCAGGUUCUUUGAGUGGCAGGGCACUGGCGUUCCCUCCUCGAGGCCUCUGCAGGCGCCUGGCGGCUGGGUACAAAAGCCUGUAACCCGACUCAUCAUCACGGACUCAAGCUCAUCCUGCUGCCUCUGGGUAGAAGCCAGAGCCGCCGCCUCUCCAUGCGUGGGAUUGUCCACUGGGUUUAAGGCAAGUGUCAAGUCCACCCGUGGGAUGUGUCAGCCAGGAUCUGCAGGUGGGCUUACCUCUCAGCACCUCAAGCUUAAAAAGAACACUCAGUAUGCUUCCUCCAGCCCUAGCAACCUGAGUGGCAGAGUUGGUGGAAGGAGGUGGAGGUGUCACAUUCACCCAGGUGCAGGUCAAGGGCACUGGCCAGAUGUUGCAGGAGCCCAGCCCUUCCCUGUCUACCCAGCAUUCCUUGCAUUCCGGGUGGAGUUGCAUCGCCCCGCCCUGGCCUUCAGCUAGAGGUUGGACUCCUUGGACAUGGGAUCCAGCCCUGUGGGGCUCCUCUCCCCACCUCAGGCCCGAGAGCCAGAGAGAGCCAGAGCCGGAAUCCUGUGACUCUCUCUGGAGCAGGCACCUGAAGAUACACUCAGACACGGGAGUCCCAUUGUCCUGGGGGCUCAGCUGCCAGGAGACCCCGGCUUCCUCCCCCACCCCACCCUGUACCCUUGCUUCUUGUGUGUCCCACCUGCCACCUGGUGACUCUGUCUUUGCCUAUCUCCCUCCUUCCUGUGCUGGGGAUGGAACCAUCUAUCACUGAGAUAGACCCCAGCCUGACUCAGUCUUUGAUGAAUGACCGACACCUGACUCCAAUGAACAGGAUCAUGUCUAACUCAGCUUCCAUAUAAGGGAAAAAUGUAUAUGGCCUAUUCAGAACAGUCGCUGGCACGCAGUAGCGGUAAGCUGCCAUUGUCCUUGUCCUGCUUUGGCUUGCUGCAAGAGUGAGAAACCCCCGACCCUUGUUUGCUGGCGGGAUCCUUCCCACAGGCAGAGGGGGGAGCACGGCUGUGGCUCCCUGAGGACUCCGGGACCCUGCCAUGGCUGCAGUGACCCUUGCCAAUAGGAGGAUCACAAGGUUACUGUGUCGCCCUAUAUGUUUACCUGUGCAUUUUAUUAAGCACCCACUAUGUCCUCAGCACCAGGGCAUCUCCAGAAGGCACCAAAUUUAUUGGUACUAUCCUCAAAGACUUCAGAGUCUCCUUGAGGAGGCCAGCCAUGACCCACAGGGCAGUGUAAGUGCUGAAUGGUGUGGGCCAUCUGUAAACUACCCGCCCUAUGGAAAUAUUUAAGAAAAUGGGGACUUUGUUGUCUUUUCCAGGUCUUUAAAAUACCAAGGCUAUCAUGAUUUAGAAUAUUAGUUGUCUUCACAUAAUGAGCCACAUGUGUUCCCAUACUGCUUCAUGUCCUCGCUCUCCAAAUGUGAUGUCUCGGAAUUACAAAAGAGGAAGAUAUUUCUGUCAAACCAAACCAACCCCCGCAUCUGAAUCACACAGGGGCACUUUGUUAGAGAAUCAUACCAAAUGGCUCCAAUAAAAUAAAAUCAACU